rnacentral:rRNA from 1 species
UCGGGAAUUUUGGGCAAUGGGCGAAAGCCUGACCCAGCAACGCCGCGUGAAGGAUGAAGUAUUUCGGUAUGUAAACUUCGAAAGAAUAGGAAGAAUAAAUGACGGUACUAUUUAUAAGGUCCGGCUAACUACGUGCCAGCAGCCGCGGUAAUACGUAGGGACCAAGCGUUGUUCGGAUUUACUGGGCGUAAAGGGCGCGUAGGCGGCAAUUCAAGUCAUCUGUGAAAUCUCCGGGCUUAACUCGGAACGGUCAGAUGAUACUGCUUUGCUAGAGUGCAGAAGGGGCAAUCGGAAUUCUUGGUGUAGCGGUGAAAUGCGUAGAUAUCAAGAGGAACACCUGAGGUGAAGACGGGUUGCUGGGCUGACACUGACGCUGAGGCGCGAAAGCGUGGGGAGCAAACAGGAUUAGAUACCCAGGUAGUCCCUGAGCGGGCUGGCAAGGCGCAU